AUUGAACGCUGGCGGCAUGCUUUACACAUGCAAGUCGAACGGCAGCGCGGGCUUCGGCCUGGCGGCGAGUGGCGCACGGGUGAGUAAUGCAUCGGAACGUGCCCAGUAGUGGGGGAUAGCACGGCGAAAGCCGGAUUAAUACCGCAUACGACCUGAGGGUGCAAGCGGGGGACCGAAAGGCCUCGCGCUCUUGGAGCGGCCGAUGUCGGAUUAGCUAGUUGGUGGGGUAAAGGGUUACCAAGGCGGCGAUCCGUAGCUGGUCUGAGAGGACGACCAGCCACACUGGGACUGAGACACGGCCCAGACUCCUACGGGAGGCAGCAGUGGGGAAUGUUGGACAAUGGGGGCAACCCUGAUCCAGCCAGGCCGCGUGCGGGAAGAAGGCCUUCGGGUUGUAAACCGCUUUUGUUCGGGAAGAAAUCCUCUGGGCUAAUACCCCGGGGGGAUGACGGUACCGGAAGAAUAAGCACCGGCUAACUACGUG
rnacentral:rRNA from 1 species